GCGCAAUUGGUCUAGUGGUAUGAUUCUCGCUUAGGGUUCACUCUAAGUUCAAAUGCGAGAGGCCCCAGGUUCGAACCCUGGAUUGCGCC